GUUCUACUCCCUCCGUUCCAUAUUAGUUGACGCUCAAAUGGAUGUAUCUAGCCGUAUUUCAGUGCAUGAUACAUCCGUUUGAGCAUCAACUAAUAUGGAAUGGAGGAAGUAUUAU
rnacentral:pre_miRNA from 1 species